rnacentral:rRNA from 1 species
AGUGAACGCUGGCGGUAGGCCUAACACAUGCAAGUCGAACGGCAGCACAGUAAGAGCUUGCUCUUACGGGUGGCGAGUGGCGGACGGGUGAGGUAUACAUCGGAAUCUACUUUUUCGUGGGGGAUAACGUAGGGAAACUUACGCUAAUACCGCAUACGACCUACGGGUGAAAGCAGGGGAUCUUCGGACCUUGCGCGAUUGAAUGAGCCGAUGUCGGAUUAGCUAGUUGGCGGGGUAAAGGCCCACCAAGGCGACGAUCCGUAGCUGGUGUGAGAGGAUGAUCAGCCACACUGGAACUGAGACACGGUCCAGACUCCUACGGGCGGCAGCAGUGGGGAAUAUUGGACGAUGGGCGCAAUCCUGAUCCAGCCAUACCGCGUGGGUGAAGCAGGCCUUCGGGUUGUAAAGCCCUUUUGUUGGGAAAGAAAAGCAGCAGGUUAAUACCCCGCUGUUCUGACGGUACCCAAAGAAUAAGCACCGGCUAACUUCGUG